rnacentral:RNase_P_RNA from 1 species
CCAAGUAAGCGUGAUAAUUGCUGCGUCAGUUAAGACGUUGAAGGAAAGUCCGGACACCCCUGUUUAAUUUUUUAAGCAGGAAGCGGCAGUCGUGAAAGCGACCGGGUAUAAGCAGUAGGGUAAAAAAUUUACGAUCGUACUUUUUUGCUCAUCAACUGUAAAACCCAGGGAAAGUGCAACAGAAAGUAAACAGCCUAAUCCCGCGUCCGCGGGAUGGCAAUGGUGAAAAUGCGUCCCGAGUUUACCUCGGGGCUCCGACCUAGCGUCGGAGAGGUAAGAGCUCACACUAAUUCCGAGUGAUCGGAUUUUGCGGCAAACCCUGCCUGGUGCAAGAGCAAGAAUGGUUGCUUGCUUAGAUAGAUAAUUAUCGCCCCGCGAUGUUAAAUCGCCGGGUACAGAAUCCGGCUUAUGGCUUGCUUGGGUCA